CUGGUUGAUCCUGCCAGAGGUUACUGCUAUCGAGGUUCGACUAAGCCAUGCGAGUCGAAUGUAGCAAUACAUGGCGUACUGCUCAGUAACACGUGGACAACCUACCCUUAGGAUGGGGAUAAACCCGGGAAACUGGGUAUAAUACCCAAUAGAUCUGGUCUGCUGGAAUGCUUCCAGAUUUAAAACUCCGGUGCCUAAGGAUGGGUCUGCGGCCUAUCAGGUUGUAGUGGGUGUAGUGUACCUACUAGCCUACGACGGGUACGGGUUGUGAGAGCAAGAGCCCGGAGAUGGAUUCUGAGACACGAAUCCAGGCCCUACGGGGUGCAGCAGGCGCGAAAACUUUACAAUGCCGGCAACGGCGAUAAGGGGACCUCGAGUGCCAGGUUACAAAUCUGGCUGUCGCGAUGCCUAAAAAGCAUUGCAUAGCAAGGGCCGGGCAAGACCGGUGCCAGCCGCCGCGGUAACACCGGCGGCUCGAGUGGUAACCGUUAUUAUUGGGUCUAAAGGGUCUGUAGCCGGCCGGGUAAGUCUCUUGGGAAAUCCAGCAGCUCAACUGUUGGGCUUUCAGGAGAUACUGCCUGGCUCGAGGCCGGGAGAGGUGAGAGGUACUUCAGGGGUAGGGGUGAAAUCUUGUAAUCCUUGAAGGACCACCAGUGGCGAAGGCGUCUCACCAGAACGGACCUGACGGCAAGGGACGAAAGCUAGGGGCACGAACCGGAUUAGAUACCCGGGUAGUCCUAGCCGUAAACGAUACUCGCUAGGUGUCGGCCACGGUGCGACCGUGGUCGGUGCCGUAGGGAAGCCGUGAAGCGAGCCACCUGGGAAGUACGGCCGCAAGGCUGAAACUUAAAGGAAUUGGCGGGGGAGCACCAC
rnacentral:rRNA from 1 species